rnacentral:rRNA from 1 species
CCUACGGGAGGCAGCAGUGAGGAAUAUUGGUCAAUGGACGAGAGUCUGAACCAGCCAAGUAGCGUGAAGGAUGACUGCCCUAUGGGUUGUAAACUUCUUUUAUAAAGGAAUAAAACGAGGCACGUGUGCCUUUUUGCAUGUACUUUAUGAAUAAGGAUCGGCUAACUCCGUGCCAGCAGCCGCGGUAAUACGGAGGAUCCGAGCGUUAUCCGGAUUGAUUGGGUUUAACGGGAGCGUAGAUGGGUUGUUAAGUCAGUUGUGAAAGUUUGCGGCUCAACCGUAAAAUUGCAAUUGAUACUGGCAGUCUUGAGUACAGUUGAGGUAGGCGGAAUUCGUGGUGUAGCGGUGAAAUGUUUAGAUAUCACGAAGAACCCCGAUUGCGAAGGCAGCUUACUAAACUGUGACUGACAUUGAUGCUCGAAAGUGUGGGUAUCAAACAGGAUUAGAUACCCCUGUAGUC